CCUACGGGCGGCAGCAGUGGGGGAUAUUGCACAAUGGGGGAAACCCUGAUGCAGCGACGCCGCGUGGGUGAAGAAGCGCCUCGGCGCGUAAAGCCCUGUCAGCAGGGAAGAAAAUGACGGUACCUGAAGAAGAAGCCCCGGCUAACUACGUGCCAGCAGCCGCGGUAAUACGUAGGGGGCAAGCGUGAUCCGGAUUUACGGGGUGUAAAGGGGGCGCAGACGGCGAUGCAAGCCAGGGGUGAAAGCCCGGGGCCCAACCCCGGGACUGCUCUUGGAACUGCGUGGCUAGAGUGCAGGAGGGGCAGGCGGAAUUCCUGGUGUAGCGGUGAAAUGCGUAGAUAUCAGGAGGAACACCGGUGGCGAAGGCGGCCUGCUGGACUGCAACUGACGUUGAGGCCCGAAAGCGUGGGGAGCAAACAGGAUUAGAUACCCCUGUAGUC
rnacentral:rRNA from 1 species